rnacentral:lncRNA from 1 species
CACGUAGUGGUCCGAAUGACCAGAAAUCGGAGGCGGCAGCCUCUCUUCUCCCACUCACCCCGACCACCACUUUCUGCAGCAUGGCGUCGCCGUCCUGCUUCGAAACGCCAUCGUCUGCUCUUUCUUCUUCUUCAAAAAUAGACUGGGCCGAGAUGGUCUCGGACAAGGUGUUCUCACUCUACAACUCUCUUCCCAAGAAAGGCAAGACUCAGGGUCGCUUUCCUCGUUUCCUCUCCUUCUCAAGGUCCUACUUUCCUUCGUUCUUUCUUUUCUAAAUUUGAUUUUCCUGCACUUUCCUGGAAAGCAAACAGUGUUUUUAACAUUUUCAAUUGUUCAGAAUUGGAAGUUGUCGCGUUGGGAACUGGGACCAAAUGUCUUGGGCGUUCACUCUUGAGCUCCAACGGUGAUGUCGUCAAUGAUUCCCACGCCGAGAUUAUAGCUCGAAGAUCUUUACUGAGGUUUUUAUUUGUUGUUAUAUAUUCAUUUCAUUAGCAAAUUUAAUUUGUUUAGUUGCUAAUACAAGAUUUUAAUAAAUAAAAAGUUGUAAUUUACGAGUGCUAUGCUUCAUGUGGCAUGAAAUGCAUCCAAAUUAUGUGUGCUUAGCUGAAAAGUACCCAUUUUUUUGGGGAGGAUUUGCAUUUGUUACCUAUAUCUCUACCUUAUAUUUUUAGUGUAUGGUGCUUAUUGGUAUACUUGGCUUCUCUGGCACUAGGUUCUUCUAUGCACAGAUUCAGUGUCUUACUCAAGUUUAUAGUAAGCAAAGUGAUAGCAAUGGAAGCACACAAAUGCAAAAUGGUGAUGCCAAAAACUUGCUUUUUGAAUUGGACCCUAAUGGUGAUGGCCAAGGAAAAUACAAAUUGAGGAAGGGUUUGCAAUUACACUUGUACAUAUCACAACUACCAUGUCAGUUCUUGUUCAUAUCCAAAAAAAGAGAGUCCUUUUUUCUUCGGUUUUUGCCCUCCUUAGAUCUUUAUAUCUUUAUCAGGACAAACCAAUACUGCGAUUAUACUUAUUCUCCUUUCUUGCAGGUGGGGUUGCAUCUCCGAGUUCACUGUUGUCUCCCCCAAAAGACGUCUCACCAACAGAACGGGGUUCAUCUUUGGACGAGCUUAAUGUUUCAAUAAAUGAAAAGGCUCUGCCAAAUACUAAUGGUAAUGGGAUUUUGUACUUGUCCUCUUCUUUGUUCUAUAUUUGCUAAAAAUUUAUGUUUCCAUUUUUCACCUUAAUGUGGUGGGUUGAAUAUUUUUCUAGUGAAUGUUGGCAGCUUCUUUUUGAGAAAAGUAUCAUUACUCUUGACAUGAGAUUUGAGUCAUGUAGCAUCUGUAUGUUACCUUAUUUUCAGGUGAUGCUUCACAACUAAUUGGCUCGGUUCAAAGAAAGCCUGGUCGUGGUGAUACGACUUUAUCAGUUAGUUGCUCUGACAAGAUGGCUCGUUGGAAUGUAGUUGGAGUUCAAGGUUUGUCAUUUGAUCUAUCAUGUACCCAAGAUAGGGCUUCAUUCAGCCAAUCUUGGAUAUGGAAACUCUGGUCUAAAUACAUACCUUGCUUCUUUUGGUCGGGCAUCCUUGAAUGUUUGAUGGUGUACCUAGACUGAGCCAGUUUGACUAAUCUUCAUGAUUAUAUUGGCCGUACUUGGUUACAUGGGCAUUACUAGUUAUAAGUUAGUUGAUGAGGUCAUACAUAUUCUUAUUUCAGGAGCUCUGCUUUCAUUCUUUCUGCAACCUGUUUACCUUUCUUCCAUUACUGUUGGACAAUCGCCUCACGGCUCUGAAAUGGUUCUUGUGGUUGAUCGCUUGAAAAAAGCGCUGCAUGAUCGCAUUCUACCAUUGUC